rnacentral:rRNA from 1 species
AUUGAACGCUGGCGGCGGGCCUAACACAUGCAAGUCGAGCGGAAGAAGGGAGCUUGCUCCUGGUUUCAGCGGCGGACGGGCGAGUAAGGCCUAGGAACCUGCCUGGUAGGGGGGGAUAACGUCCGGAACCGGGCGCUAAUACUGCAUACGUCCUGAGGGAGCAAGGGGGGGAACUUCGGACCUAACGCAAUCAGGCGAGCCUAGGUCGGAUUAGCUAGUUGGUGGGGUAUAGGCCUACCAAGCCGACUAUCGGUAACUGGCCUGAAAGGUUGAUCAGUCAAACUGGAACGGAGCCACGGUCCAGACUCCAACGGGAGGCAGCAGUGGGGAAUAUUGGACAAGGGGGGAAAGCCUGAUCCAGCAAGGCCGCGUGUGGGAAGAAGGUCUUCGGAUUUUAAAGCACGUUAAGUUGGGAGGAAAGGCAGUAAGUUAAGACCAUGCUGUUUUGACGUUACCAACAGAAUAAGCAACGGCUAACUUCGUG